ACAUUGAAACACCGAAGUUAAGCAACGUCGAGCCUGGUUAGUACCUAGAUGGGUUACCGCUUGGGAAUACACGGUGUU